UUUGAGGCUUAUGGGCCAAUCAAGCGGGUAGGUACUUUAGAGCAUCCCCAAGUGGGGUUCAGGUUAUUGACUUUUGACUUCGGUAAGAGGUUCAGUUACCUCUGUCUAUUUUCUGGUGGUUUCUUUCUCCUAAAUCUUUUCUCUCAAUUUUCAAACUUUAGGAAACUUGUGAUUAUGAAUUUUAUUUUUUUUUUUAACUAUUUCUAAAGCCAAAUUGCAUCUUUUCAGCCCUGGCAGCCUACUGAUUACAUCUGCCUAUAGUUUCUUUUACUAAGUUAAAUGUUCAAUACAAAUGUCUAACAGAGAAAUGCUUAACUACGAAAUUUUGUUGCUGUCCUCUGAUGAAUAUCCAUAGCACUCAUUUAGUUAGACCCUUGGUAAAUCAGUGAAAAAAUGUUUGCUGCUUGACAAUUGAUUUUGUGACUCCACCUCCUUGCCACCUUGAUAUCUGCGAUGCAUCACAAUUGUGAAGUUUUGUGCUUAAACAGUAAGUGUUCCUAAUGAUGCAUAGUGCACAUAAGGUAUAAGUUCAAAAUUCACUGUCAGCUUCCUAUCGAGUACUAUUUUUGGUAGAGGUUUUAUAUGUGAUGGGUAUUGUAGCACAGGUACCAUUUCCUAUCUUCCAGUAUGAUAUACGGAUUUGUUUUGCUUAACCAUUGUUAGUUCUUUCUUGGAUAUAGUUCGAAUUUUAAAACUCUCCUUGGGACUUGGGUAAUAUACUAGAUUCUAGGUACUACUUUAGCAUUAAGCUUCAUCAUAUUGAGCAAUAUCCCUGGUAAGGGGGUGGUUACUCUGUUCCACAAAUGGUAUAUUUGGUUCCUCUGUUUUCUACCAUGUCCAUUCCAAAGAUGGUGCUUCAUCCUGCAUGGCAAAGCUGAAAAUUUUAAGUUGAGCAGAGCAGUGAUGGAUUGUGCCUUUUGGCCUUUAUUUUCAAGCAACAAAAGGGGACAGACAACUUCUGCUCUUUUUUCCUACACUUGGGUAAAACACGUAGGGAGUAUUAGCAUCUCUUUCUCCUUUAUUUGAAUUUUAAUGUGUGCAUUUCCUGCUACUAAAAAUUUUACUUUUGGCUUUAAAGGCUAUCAAAAACGUAUCAGCAGUUGAGAAGAUAUCCUGGUAUUUCUGAUAUUAUUUUAACUAUUUCAUUAUAUAUAAAAAAAUUUCCCUGGUAAGGGGAGGUUAGUAUGUCAACUGGUAAAUUGGCCACACACAUCGGUUUUUCUGCAACUCUAGAAGUGCUGGUGAUGCAUCUCGCGUUGGAAGCUGUAUAUGAUUAAAAGGUGAGCACGGCUAAUGAGGCAUAUGCCUGUCUGCCGUGCCAUUUAGGAUUUACUAUUUCUAACUUCUUCUUUUUUUCUAUAGGAUUGGCACCUGGUUGCUAAGAUCAAACAUCAUCUGUUUCAAUAUGUUUUCUUGAUUCAGAUAUGAAUCUACUUUUAUUACUUUAGUUUAUUUAACCUUUUUCUUUGAGCUUUGCAGGUCCGACUCAUUACCGACAAAGAGACUAGUAAACCUAGAGGUUAUGCUUUCAUUGAAUAUAUGCAUACACGGGAUAUGAAAGGUUUGCUAUAUAGCUUGAGCAUUUAUUGGUUUUCAUCUGAUGUGCUUUAUAUUUUGUUUCUGAACACCACUUGUUUGUGUCAAAUUCAGCUGCUUAUAAACAAGCUGAUGGAAGGAAGCUUGAUAACAGAAGGGUGCUGGUUGACGUUGAACGUGGUAGAACUGUUCCUAAUUGGCGUCCCCGCAGACUGGGUGGUGGACUUGGAACAACUAGGGUUGGAGGUGAAGAAGUGAAUCCAAAGUAUUCUGGAAGGUAAUUGGCCUGAUUGCAAUGUUUGCACAUGCUGUGUUCCAUGGAGAAAGAAUUCGUGACUUUUAUUGCCUUUUAAAUAAAUCUUGUUGCAUGCAUUAUACAGUAGAUUCGUAGGGAGAAUUCAAUGAUGUGAAGGUUUUUUGAUGGGCUUAAGUAGGGAUUAUGUUAUACCUGAUAUGAUUUUUGGCAUCUCAAUUAAUAUAACAUAGAGAUGCCACAUUUAAGUAUGCAACUAUAAUUUGAUGUCUUGAUAUUCUUGAAAAAUUUAACAUGUUUUACUUAUCUUCUC
rnacentral:lncRNA from 1 species